GGAGGGCUGUGGGUUGGCCAGCCGCUCUGCAGUUGGAAUGGCGUGAAAGAACAGGAAGAUAGCAGUUGGCAUCAAAGAGGCCUGGGGCUCCAUCCUGCCUCAAUCCUGUCCUGUGCCGGCUGGGUGAUCUUAUAUUCAUUCAACAAAUAGUCGCUGGGUGUCAACAUGCCUGCAUCAAGCCUGCUUUGUGCAAGAGACAUAAAAAGACCAAAGGACAAAAGCCUAAAAGGGUAAUAGACUUGAGUCAAGAAUAUAAACGGGCCAGCAAGAUGGCUCAGUGGGUGAAGGCGCUUGCUGUCAAGACGAAUGACCUGAGUUCAGUCCCUGGGACCCACAUGGAGGAAGGAAAAAACUGAUUCCUCUGAGCUCUACCGACCUCUACAGUGUGUUGUGGCCCAUGGCCCCUCCCACAA